GAGUGUUCUAUUUCAUAUCAUUGGAGUAGUAUAUGAUAAUAAUCUCACCUACAACUCUCAAAUAGUAAACUUUAAACCCAAAUAUAAACUAUAAAUUCAAAUAUAAACCAUAAACCUAAAUAGAAUAGAACAAAAUAAAUGAUAUUGUUCAUAUUGGUGAAAUUAUUAAAUGUCUAUGAUUGCAUAGAAAAAGUUAAUGCUGACCCCAACCAUACCCCCUCACCUUCUAAAUAUUAAACUCUAAUCACUAAACUCCAACUCAAAUAUUUCUAGACCCAAAU
rnacentral:lncRNA from 1 species